GGGAAAUGGACAAGCAACGGGCUAAGAAAUACACGGUCCCGCACCGACAGCACGCUUCCUCUGCGCACACUUUGUCUUCCUGUUACUCUCACCAAGCUCUUUCGGAGUUCACUGGCUUAGCUGCGGCUAGUGUACUCCUACCACAAAAUGACAAAUCUCACAAAUUAUGCCUGUGAUAUUAAACCUGAUUCUGAUUCUGACUCCAUCUACUUGCCUGGAUGGGAGAGUUCGAACAGCACUCAGGAAGAUUGACAAUGCCAAAGAAAAAGCAUCUGGUUGAUUGGUGGCUGGCAGGAGAAUCAAGAGAAAGAAAAGAAAAUCUGCAGAUGCUGGAAAUCCAAGCAAUGCUCACAAAAUGCUGGAGGAACUCAGCAAGCCAGACGGAAUCAAGGAAAAGAGUAAAGUCGAUGUUUUGGGCUGCAGGGUUUCAGGCUGACUGGUUACAAUGUAGCCAGUCAAUUCUGCUUAGGUAUUUAUUAAUUAUUAUCAUACGAUGCUCACUGUUUAUGAAUCCGUAAAACUCAUCCAUUUACUGCCAUUUUGUUAACCAUCUUUCCCACUAAUGUGAAGAAAAAAUGUGCUGCACCUAUUUUUAACUCAGAUCUCUCCCUCUCCUUCUCCCUCUCCCAUGAGUUUUAUUCAUGAUAUCUUGGGGAAGGGAACUCAAACUCCAAAUAAAAGCGAGAGCCCAGCCAGGUAAGUCUAGACCCUAAGGCAAUGAGGCAAAUAAGUCCAUAUAUCAUUAGCCACUUCAUUUCCCUUCCGUUUUCCUUCCUUCUUUUUCAGUACACUAUCAGACUCUGGAAGAGAGGGUCGUGCACCCAAUUGGCUUUGGCCGGCAUCACAGCACUUCCA